GCAAGGAAUUUUCCGCAAUGGGCGAAAGCCUGACGGAGCAACGCCGCGUGGGGGAGGACGCUUUUCGGAGUGUAAACCCCUUUUCUCAGGGAAGAUGAUGACGGUACCUGAGGAAGAAGGACCGGCUAACUACGUGCCAGCAGCCGCGGUAAUACGUAGGGUCCGAGCGUUGUCCGGAGUUACUGGGCGUAAAGCGCGCGCAGGUGGUCCAUUAAGCCCGGCGUGAAAGCCCCCGGCUCAACCGGGGAGGGUCGUCGGGGACUGGUGGACUUGAGGGCGGCAGGGGCUGGUGGAAUCCCCGGUGUAGUGGUGAAAUGCGUAGAGAUCGGGGGGAACACCCGUGGCGAAGGCGGCCAGCUGGGCCGACCCUGACACUGAGGCGCGAAGGCGUGGGGAGCGAACGGGAUUAGAAACCCCAGUAGUCC
rnacentral:rRNA from 1 species